CACAGAACACAGGAGUUUCUGGCAGCUUUGUAUGUGACUGAUGUCAUUAAUGGAGGAAAUCCACUCCAUCUCAGGGAUCUCUUCAGUCUGAAUCUUGAUUUUGGAGAGCAGAGCUUCACAGACUACAGUUCACUCCAGAAAGUGAUGAACAUCGCUUUACAAAAACAGAUGGACCUCUUCUUCUGCUUCUUACUGGGUUUGACCCUGGAGUCCAGUCAGAGAGCUUUAAAAGACCUCCUGACACAGAGAAGCAGCAGCUCUUCAUCCAGUCAAGAAAUAAUUCAACACAUUAAAACCAUGAUCAUGAAUUCCUCUUCAGAAAAUGCUGUUGAAAAUGCUGAAAUCAGUCUCCUGUUUCAUUGUUUGAAAGAGCUGGAUGACCGUUAUCUAAUCCAGCAGAUAAAAACACAGCAGAAAUCUGGACUCAGACUCUCUCCUGCUCAGUUUUCAGCUCUGAUGAUUGUGCUUCUGAACUCAGAAGAGAAGUUGGAUGAGAUUAAAUCUCAUCAAUCAGAAGAACUGAAGCUUCAGCCAGUGGUCAAAACAUCUGGAGAAAAUGAGUUGAGAUCUUGCCGUAUCAGUAACAAAGGCUGUGCUGAUCUGAUUUCAGCUCUGAGAUCAAACCCGUCUCAUCUGAAAGAGCUGGACCUGAGUAAGAAUAACAUUACAGAUUCAGGAGUGAAGCAGCUUUCAGAUCUACUGGAAGAUCCUCAGUGUAAACUGGAGAAACUGGGGUUGAGAUCUUGUCAUAUCAGUGACCGAGGUUAUGCUGUUCUGAGUUCAGCUCUGAGAUCAAACCCGUCUCAUCUGAGAGAGCUGGACCUGAGUGAGAAUGACAUUACAGAAUCAGGAGUGAUGCAGCUUUCAGAUCUACUGGAACAUCCUCAGUGUAAACUGGAGAAACUGAGGUUGAGAUCUUGUCAUAUCCGUGUAAGAGGUUGUGCUGUUCUGAGUUCAGCUCUGAGAUCAAACCCGUCUCAUCUGAGAGAGCUGGACCUGAGUGAGAAUGUACUUGAAGAAUUAGGAGUGAAGAUUCUUUCAGAUUUACUGGCAGAUCCUCAGUUUAAACUGGAGAAAUUGGGGUUGAGUUCUUGUAAUAUCAGUGACAGUGGUUAUGCUGAUCUGAGUUCAGCUCUGAGAUCAAACCCGUUUCAUCUGAGAGAGCUGGACCUGAGUGGGAAUAAAUUUGGAUAUUCAGGAAUGAAGGAGCUUUUGGAUUUACUAAAACAUCCUCAGUGUAAACUGCAGAAACUGGGGAUAAGAUCUUGUGAUAUCAGUGACAGAGGUUGUGCUGUUCUGAGUUCAGCUCUGAGAUCAAAUCUGUCUCAUCUGAGAGAGCUGGACCUGAGUGAGAAUUACAUUAGAGAUUCAGGAGUGAAUCAGCUUUCAGAUCUACUGAAAUAUCCUCAGUAUAAACUGGAGAAACUGAGGUUGAGAUCUUGUUAUAUCAAUGACAGAGGUUGUGCUUUUCUGAGUUCAGCUCUGAGUUCAAACCCGUCUCAUCUGAGAGAGCUGGACCUGAGUGAGAAUGACAUUACAGAUUCAGGAGUGAUGCAGAUUUCAGAUCUACUGAAACAUCCUGAGUGUAAACUGGAGACACUGAGGUUGAGAUCUUGUCAUAUCAGUGACGCUUGUGCUGAUCUGAGUUCAGCUCUGAGUUCAAACCCAUCUCAUCUGAGAGAGCUGGACCUGAGUAAGAAUGUCAUUAGAGAUUCAGGAACGAAGCAGAUUUCAGAUCUACUGAAACAUCCUCAGUUUAAACUGGAGACGCUGAGGUUGAGAUCUUGUUAUAUCAGUAACAGAGGUUGUGCUGAUCUGAGUUCAGCUCUGAGAUCAAACCCAUCUCAUCUGAGAGAGCUGGACCUGAGUGGGAAUGUCAUUACAGAUUUAGGAAUAAAGCAGCUUUUAGAUCUGCUAGAAGAUCCUCAGUGUAAACUGGAGAAAUUGGGGUACGUUUCCAAUUCCAGCACUGUAUACUGUGAAUCCAUGCAUGUUGACACACAUUCUUCACCAGAUAGACUCACAAUAUCCAUAUUUCUUUGUUUGUGAUAGUGUCUGAUUUUCUGUUGCUGUGCUGUUCUGAGAUCAGCUCUGAGAUUGUCCCCUACUAAACUCACAGGUUGAGAUCUAGUCGCAUCAGUAACAGAAGUUUUCAGAGGGAGAUAAAAUCUGUCUCUGAGAGAGCUGGACCUGAGUGAGAAUGACAUUAGAGAUUCAGGGGUGAAGAUGCUUUCAGAUCUACUAGAACAUCCUCAAUGUAAACUGGAGAAACUGGAGUAAGUGUCAUUAUUCUGCUGCUGUGUGAUUGUUUUAAGAAACACUCAAGGAAUGUCAAGAACAGAUUUAUUUUUCAUGAACAAAAAGUGAGAACACCCAGAUCUCAUUUCAGCAGAAAGAACUUACUAUACAUCUCUCAGUCUCUGUGUAUGAUAGUCUAAUGCUUGAUUUGUGUUUUACAUGAAAAAUUUACCUUUUAAAUGUUAGAGAUAAAUGUUCACAGUAUUAACAGACACAACAUGUAAAAUAUAAAUAUAAAACAAUUGGGAUUUAUCUUGCUUAUUUUACCAGCGGUGCUUGUUUUGUUUUUUUUUAAUCCCACUCUCAGCCCGAUUUUACUAUUCUGCACCCAUCAGAUUAGAUGUUUCAUAUUUAUAUAUCUCAUCAACAAUUCUGAAAACUCCUAAAUUAUACAGUAUAUAGUUUACCCAUGAAUAUGUUAAGACAUAACACCAAAACUUACUGAAAUAUCAAAAUGAUUUCAGUACAUCAAACUAGAUUUGUAGAUUUGAGUAGUGCUUAAUCAAGCAAAACUGAGUUUAGUUAAUCAACUUUUCAGAAUAUAAUAGCUUAAAUUCACAUGAUUUCGUAUUUACAUUAUAAUCCACACAUGCAGUGGUGUCAUUUCACCAAAAGCCAGGGUAUGGCAGACCCUGAUGACGUCAUUCCAAACUUACUCCCUCGACAUGACAGUCCCACUUUCUUCACACAACUUUUUUCCAGCACUUAUCCAAUUUAAGUGUUAUUUUUAAUAUGAUUACCAAAAACGUUUUUAUUCAGUCUACAAAGAUUGUCCUCAUUUGUAAAACUAGAAGUCAAUCAAUCAGAAACAACAGCCAAUCAGAACAGGGUGUGGGCGGGCUCUCGCAGCAUUUGCACUACACCAGAGACUGAACUUGAAGGCACUUGCAAGAAAAUUAAUAAGUACGUAAUAAAAUUCACAAAUACUACACCAUUUAAACAUUAAUAAAAACACAUACUGGGCUACUAAAACAAUCUUUGUCAUAGAAACUUGUUUGUUCACAAUUUGAACGUUCUUGCUUCCAUUUGUUUAAUUUCAAGAUCUGAGGUGAAUUAUCCAUUGUUGCUUUUAACACGACUACAAAGCUGGGAGCACUAAAUGAUAUUCUAAGUCACUUUACACGCUUUUAACAUUAAAUAAAGUACAUAAGCUGAGAUUAUCAUUGCCAUACUUUGUGUCGUUGUUCCGACCAAGACUUCCAAAAAAUAGAAAGUUUCUUAAAUGGAAUCGUCGUGUGGUAAGGACAACUGGUAACUUAAACACCUCUGAUUAGUCAUUAUUUUCAACAGAAAUCCCUUUGAUUGGCUACAAUACUCAAUCCUGCAAAAUCACUUUGUGAAUAGACACAUUGGCAGCGCCAUUGAUCUUACAUGACACGAAUAUAACAACUAGAUCGCUUUAAUUUACUUGCUUUUAUAUUUUAAAAAUACAAAUUAUAUGUUACACAUAGUAAUAUAACUCUGUUAAUCCUGCAUGCAAUUAAUAAAAUUAUAUAACUUGACCAGGCAGCCAAGGUAUGGUGGUCAUCAUACCCUGCCAUACCCAAUUGAAGCCCCUGCACACAUGUAUGUCAAACAAAUAUAGCACUGUAAAGUUAGUUUUAGUUUUGUACUCUGCUUCAAAAAUGUACACAAAUGUGCUUUUACUUUUGUGAUAACUGUUGAGACUGUUUAGGUAACUCUGAUCUUAGACUUGGACACAUGGAUGGUGUUUGCCAAAGCUGCCUGUUCAUAAUUUUAGAAAUUCUCACAAAAUGCAUGAUGGAGGGAAUUUAGUCAAACCUUAAUUUAAUUGCAAGUAAUUUUGAACAAUUUUACUGUGUUUGGUCAGGGUUAGAUCUAUUCUGGGCUGGUCCAUUAAUUUCAUCACACUUUUUCAACAGCUCAGUUCUGAUAUUUGUAGAGUCUUUAUAGUAACAUUUACAUCCAGUUCAGGAUCAAUUCUGUAUAAUGUAUGCUUUUUCAUUUUUACCUGAGAUGUCAUUCUUCUCCUCUUUACUGCAUGUGUACUGCUGCAAACUACAUGUACAGUGAAACUUAAAAGAAAAAGACAAAAAUAAAAACCCUAAAAUGA